rnacentral:rRNA from 1 species
GAUGAACGCUGGCGGCGUGCCUAAUACAUGCAAGUCGAGCGAACGGACGAGAAGCUUGCUUCUCUGAUGUUAGCGGCGGACGGGUGAGUAACACGUGGAUAACCUACCUAUAAGACUGGAAUACUUUCGGGAACCGGGGGCAAAAACCGGAUAAAAUUUUAAACGGAAUGGUUAAAAGGUGAAAAAGGGCUUUGCUGUCAUUAAUAGAUGAAUCCGCGCGGCAUUAGCUAGUUGGUAAGGUAACGGCUUACAAAGGCAACGAUGCAUAGCCGACCUGAGAGGGUGAUCGGCCACACUGGAACUGAGACACGGUCCAGACUCCUACGGGAGGCAGCAGUAGGGAAUCUUCCGCAAUGGGCGAAAGCCUGACGGAGCAACGCCGCGUGAGUGAUGAAGGUCUUCGGAUCGUAAAACUCUGUUAUUAGGGAAGAACAUAUGUGUAAGUAACUGUGCACAUCUUGACGGUACCUAAUCAGAAAGCCACGGCUAACUACGUG